ACGGGAGGCAGCAGUGGGGAAUAUUGCACAAUGGGGGAAACCCUGAUGCAGCGACGCCGCGUGAGUGAAGAAGUAUUUCGGUAUGUAAAGCUCUAUCAGCAGGAAAGAAAAUGACGGUACCUGACUAAGAAGCCCCGGCUAACUACGUGCCAGCAGCCGCGGUAGUACGUAGGGGGCAAGCGUUAUCCGGAUUUACUGGGUGUAAAGGGAGCGUAGACGGUAAGGCAAGUCUGAAGUGAAAUGCCAGGGCUCAACCCUGGAACUGCUUUGGAAACUGUCCUACUAGAGUGCAGGAGAGGUAAGUGGAAUUCCUAGUGUAGCGGUGAAAUGCGUAGAUAUUAGGAGGAACACCAGUGGCGAAGGCGGCUUACUGGACUGUAACUGACGUUGAGGCUCGAAAGCGUGGGGAGCAAACAGGAUUAGAUACCCUGGUA
rnacentral:rRNA from 2 species